rnacentral:lncRNA from 1 species
UUGCAAAUUUGUGAAUUUCUUGGGAUGGAACUAACCAGAGCUCUUUGUUCCGUAGCUGGGGCUCACUGCCCCAAGUGGGCAGUGAGUCUGGAUC